UAUAUGUCUGUCUGACCCUGUAUAGGGGG
rnacentral:sRNA from 1 species